rnacentral:rRNA from 1 species
GCGAACGCUGGCGGCGUGCUUAACACAUGCAAGUCGUACGGUAAGGCCCUUUCGGGGGUACACGAGUGGCGAACGGGUGAGUAACACGUGAGUAACCUGCCCACAACUUUGGGAUAACGCUAGGAAACUGGUGCUAAUACUGGAUAUGUGCCCCUGCUGCAUGGUGGGGGUUGGAAAGCUCCGGCGGUUGUGGAUGGACUCGCGGCCUAUCAGCUUGUUGGUGGGGUAGUGGCCUACCAAGGCGGCGACGGGUAGCCGGCCUGAGAGGGUGACCGGCCACAUUGGGACUGAGAUACGGCCCAGACUCCUACGGGAGGCAGCAGUGGGGAAUAUUGCACAAUGGGCGCAAGCCUGAUGCAGCAACGCCGCGUGCGGGAUGACGGCCUUCGGGUUGUAAACCGCUUUCAGCAGGGACGAAGCUUUUUGUGACGGUACCUGCAGAAGAAGCACCGGCUAACUACGUG